rnacentral:rRNA from 1 species
UACGUAGGGGGCGAGCGUUGUCCGGAGUUACUGGGCGUAAAGCGCACGCAGGCGGUCUGCUAAGUUUGGAGUGACAGUUGGUGGCUUAACUGCCAAAGUGCUUCGAAAACUGACAGACUUGAGGGCUUCAGAGGGACACGGAAUUCCGGGUGGAGUGGUGAAAUGCGUAGAGAUCCGGAGGAACACCAACGGCGUAGGCAGCGCCCUAGACGAGACCUGACGCUCAGGCACGAAAGCGCGGGGAGCGAACAGG